GAUGAACGCUGGCGGCGUGCCUAAUACAUGCAAGUCGAGCGAAUGGAUUAAGAGCUUGCUCCUAUGAAGUUAGCGGCGGACGGGUGAGUAACACGUGGGUAACCUGCCCAUAAGACUGGGAUAACUCCGGGAAACCGGGGCUAAUACCGGAUAACAUUUUGAACCGCAUGGUUCGAAAUUGAAAGGCGGCUUCGGCUGUCACUUAUGGAUGGACCCGCGUCGCAUUAGCUAGUUGGUGAGGUAACGGCUCACCAAGGCAACGAUGCGUAGCCGACCUGAGAGGGUGAUCGGCCACACUGGGACUGAGACACGGCCCAGACUCCUACGGGAGGCAGCAGUUGGGAAUCUUCCGCAAUGGACGAAAGUCUGACGGAGCAACGCCGCGUGAGUGAUGAAGGCUUUCGGGUCGUAAAACUCUGUUGUUAGGGAAGAACAAGUGCUAGUUGAAUAAGCUGGCACCUUGACGGUACCUAACCAGAAAGCCACGGCUAACUACGUGCCAGCAGCCGCAGUAA
rnacentral:rRNA from 1 species